ACCCCGGCCCUUUUCAGGGCCACCACAUACUUCAGAACGAACUAUA
rfam:Branchiostoma floridae genomic scaffold BRAFLscaffold_174, whole genome shotgun sequence.